UGGGACCCAUUCUACGUUCGCUGGCACUAUGUAAGAGAAAGACCAGGACCCAUUCUACGUUCUGGCACAGUUGGACUAUGUAGAGGGCUAUUGGUGACAAAUUCAUCCUUGAUGUGAUUAGCUGUGAUGUGAUGCAUUCCAUGAUCCAUAUGAUUUAAAUGUUUUUAUUAUUCUGCUCACUGGGCUCUAGUAGCUCACCCCUCUCCCAUUUCCCCAGGAUUGCAGGUACAGGGUAGACCAGGAGGUUUACAAGAGUAAUGAAGUCUGAUUUAUGUAAUAGAUAGUGUGGACAUGAUAAAUGUAUUAAUGUUAUGUAAAAGUACAGUUUGAGUCAUGUAAUGAUAUUGAGGAUUAGAUAUUGUGCUUGACAUGAUGUAUGAGGUAUCCCUUUUAUUACAUGAUCAAAAAUGUUUUAUAAUGUUCAUGAAAGCCAACUCAUCUCAUGAUGUAUUGCCCAUUGGGGCAUUGAUGAGAUCCCACAGAGGGAUCAUGAUUAUGAUUAUGACUAUGUACAUGUAUGUUCAGGUUGAGUU
rnacentral:lncRNA from 1 species